AAGUCGUAACAAGGUAGCCGUGUCAGCAGCCGCGGUAAUACGUAGGGUGCAAGCGUUAAUCGGAAUUACUGGGCGUAAAGCGUGUGUAGGCGGUUCGGAAAGAAAGAUGUGAAAUCCCAGGGCUUAACCUUGGAACUGCAUUUUUAACUGCCGAGCUAGAGUAUGUCAGAGGGGGGUAGAAUUCCACGUGUAGCAGUGAAAUGCGUAGAUAUGUGGAGGAAUACCGAUGGCGAAGGCAGCCCCCUGGGAUAAUACUGACGCUCAGACACGAAAGCGUGGGGAGCAAACAGGAUUAGAUACCCUGGUAGUCCACGCCCUAAACGAUGUCAACUAGCUGUUGGGGCCGUUAGGCCUUAGUAGCGCAGCUAACGCGUGAAGUUGACCGCCUGGGGAGUACGGUCGCAAGAUUAAAACUCAAAGGAAUUGACGGGGACCCGCACAAGCGGUGGAUGAUGUGGAUUAAUUCGAUGCAACGCGAAAAACCUUACCUACCCUUGACAUGUCUGGAAUGCCGAAGAGAUUUGGCAGUGCUCGCAAGAGAACCGGAACACAGGUGCUGCAUGGCUGUCGUCAGCUCGUGUCGUGAGAUGUUGGGUUAAGUCCCGCAACGAGCGCAACCCUUGUCAUUAGUUGCUACGCAAGAGCACUCUAAUGAGACUGCCGGUGACAAACCGGAGGAAGGUGGGGAUGACGUCAAGUCCUCAUGGCCCUUAUGGGUAGGGCUUCACACGUCAUACAAUGGUCGGGACAGAGGGUCGCCAACCCGCGAGGGGGAGCCAAUCUCAGAAACCCGAUCGUAGUCCGGAUCGCAGUCUGCAACUCGACUGCRUGAAGUCGGAAUCGCUAGUAAUCGCGGAUCAGAAUGUCGCGGUGAAUACGUUCCCGGGUCUKGUACACACCGSCCGUCACACCAUGGGAGUGSRUUUCACCAGAGUUAGGUAGCYUAACCGUARGGAGGGCGCUUACUC
rnacentral:rRNA from 1 species